rfam:Populus trichocarpa scaffold_4_contig_167, whole genome shotgun sequence.
UCUAGAACUCAAGAUAUGGGCUGAACACUGAACAGUGUCUGGGCUGCAGGACAGAUUCUGACUUCUCCGUUGUUGCUAAGAUUUGGACUUCCAAACAGUAGAAUUGAGUCUUGGACUCCGCAUGAAUGUUUUAGGCCUAUGUCUUAGCUUUCUAGC